rnacentral:rRNA from 1 species
GGGAAUUCGAUUAGAGUUUGAUCAUGGCUCAGAUUGAACGCUGGCGGCAUGCCUUACACAUGCAAGUCGAACGGCAGCAUGAUCUAGCUUGCUAGAUUGAUGGCGAGUGGCGAACGGGUGAGUAAUACAUCGGAACGUGCCCUGUAGUGGGGGAUAACUAGUCGAAAGAUUAGCUAAUACCGCAUACGACCUGAGGGUGAAAGUGGGGGACCGCAAGGCCUCAUGCUAUAGGAGCGGCCGAUGUCUGAUUAGCUAGUUGGUGAGGUAAAGGCUCACCAAGGCGACGAUCAGUAGCUGGUCUGAGAGGACGAUCAGCCACACUGGGACUGAGACACGGCCCAGACUCCUACGGGAGGCAGCAGUGGGGAAUUUUGGACAAUGGGGGCAACCCUGAUCCAGCAAUGCCGCGUGUGUGAAGAAGGCCUUCGGGUUGUAAAGCACUUUUGUCCGGAAAGAAAUCGCACUUACUAAUAUUAGGUGUGGAUGACGGUACCGGAAGAAUAAGGACCGGCUAACUACGUGCCAGCAGCCGCGGUAAUACGUAGGGUCCAAGCGUUAAUCGGAAUUACUGGGCGUAAAGCGUGCGCAGGCGGUUGUGCAAGACCGAUGUGAAAUCCCCGGGCUUAACCUGGGAAUUGCAUUGGUGACUGCACGGCUAGAGUGUGUCAGAGGGGGGUAGAAUUCCACGUGUAGCAGUGAAAUGCGUAGAGAUGUGGAGGAAUACCGAUGGCGAAGGCAGCCCCCUGGGAUAACACUGACGCUCAUGCACGAAAGCGUGGGGAGCAAACAGGAUUAGAUACCCUGGUAGUCCACGCCCUAAACGAUGUCAACUAGUUGUUGGGGAUUCAUUUCCUUAGUAACGUAGCUAACGCGUGAAGUUGACCGCCUGGGGAGUACGGUCGCAAGAUUAAAACUCAAAGGAAUUGACGGGGACCCGCACAAGCGGUGGAUGAUGUGGAUUAAUUCGAUGCAACGCGAAAAACCUUACCUACCCUUGGCAUGCCACUAACGAAGCAGAGAUGCAUUAGGUGCUCGAAAGAGAAAGUGGACACAGGUGCUGCAUGGCUGUCGUCAGCUCGUGUCGUGAGAUGUUGGGUUAAGUCCCGCAACGAGCGCAACCCUUGUCUCUAGUUGCUACGAAAGGGCACUCUAGAGAGACUGCCGGUGACAAACCGGAGGAAGGUGGGGAUGACGUCAAGUCCUCAUGGCCCUUAUGGGUAGGGCUUCACACGUCAUACAAUGGUGCAUACAGAGGGUUGCCAAGCCGCGAGGUGGAGCUAAUCCCAGAAAAUGCAUCGUAGUCCGGAUCGUAGUCUGCAACUCGACUACGUGAAGCUGGAAUCGCUAGUAAUCGCGGAUCAGCAUGCCGCGGUGAA